rnacentral:lncRNA from 1 species
AAACUUUAUGCCUGAUUUUAAAAUUUGCACGUGAAAUUUUUUGCGUCUAAUUGCACGUGAAAUUUUGUGCAUGACUCUAAAAAUUGCACGUGAAAUUUUGUGCGCGAUUCUAAAAAUUGAACGUGAAAUUUUGUGCGCGAUUCUAAAAAUUUGCACGUGAAAUUUUAUUCGUGAUUCUAAUUGCACGUCAAAAUUUGUGCGUGAUUAGAAAAAUGGCACGCGAAUUUUUGUGCAUGUCUAAAAGUUGCACGUGAAAUUUUAUCCCCGAUUGUAAUUGCACGUGAAAUUUGUGCAUGAUUCAAAAUUUUGUGCAGAUUCUAAAAAUUUGCACUGCAAUUUAUGCGCGAUUCUAAAAAAUCGACAUGAAAUUUUAUGCACGAUUCUAAAGGGAUAAUGAAAACAAGAAAAAUCAAGAGACUAAACAAAAAAAAAUAUAAAUAAGAAAAGGAAAUAAUAAAGAAGAUAUAAAACAAAUGGAAGAAAAAAGAAAUGAAAGAAAAAACAAUGGUGAACAUGGGACUUGAACUUACAAUUUCAUGAAUCCAACACAAGACACCGCUGCUAGCCACAAAACCAAUUGGUUGGUACUGUUCUACUUGAGUUAUUAUAUUUUAUAUAUAGCGAGGUAUCUCAGAUCGAAUGAGAAAUAUCAAUUCUCAGGCUGAGGACUAGCAAUUCCUAAACAAAAACGACGUGUCUCUAUGUCCGAAUCGGCCGUCUCUACGCCACGAAUCAGCAUAGGUCCCCUUUUUGUUGGCGAACAAUGUCGUACCCGGUGGUUAUUGCGAAAUGAAGUGCUCCAAUUAUCCUACGGUGCACCCCCCCUACUAAUUAACUAUCGCAAGGCCAGAAGAGUGUGUCUGAAGCAAUGCGAUUUGAUCAUUCAUUAGCCACACGGCCUGCUGAUUCGGAUGUGGACGGGCACGCUAUCGUCGUUGGGUAACGUGGGCUUAAUUCGCUAAUCAUGCUCAGCUGCCUCAACUUGUUAUCGCGUCAUCGCACAAUAAUAAUCCCCCUUGCUUCGGUCGUAAACACGGGUGACCCACGGCAGGCUCCUCUUCUUGUCUGGCC